rnacentral:rRNA from 1 species
GAUGAACGCUGACAGAAUGCUUAACACAUGCAAGUCAACUUGAACUUCGGUUUGGGUGGGGGACGGUUGAGUAACGUACAAAGUACUUGCCUCACAUAUAGGUGCAGCUUUUCGUAACGAAUGCUAAUACCUGAUAUUUCGAUCUUAGGGCAUACUAGAAUUAUGAAAGUUAUAUGCGCUGUGAGAGAGCUUUGUGACCCCUUUUAUAGUUGAAAAAAUCACGGCUCACCUAGGCGAUAAUGGUUAGCCGGGCUGAGAGGGCGAUUGGCGCCCAUCCUUCUGAGGGUGGGGACCUUAAUUUUUUUUGUUUCCAACUGGAAAGCAAUUUUGGAUCAGGAAAAAAAGAGUCUGGUCCAGCGAAAUUGGUGUGACCCGACGAAUGGUCUCAUGAUCUAUAGUUCCCUCAGCUGCCCACAAAAAAAAAGAAAGGGACCAAGACUAGAAGCCAUGGUUAAAUACCUGCCCCCCCGGGCCGGCAAACCCAUAAAUGACAUGGGGUUUUUUUUUUUUUUUUGGAGGGGGGGGGGGGGAGGGGAGGUAUAUAAAAAUGAAAAAAAAUUUAUUAUUUUUAUGUAUAAGUAAAAAAAAAAAUAUAAGUGUGAGGGGUGGGUCCCCGACGGGGGGGGGUUGUUUUUUUUUUUUUUUUUUUUUGCAGCGAACAAGAGGAGUUAUUUUUUUUUUUUUUUGUUGGGGGGGUGCGGGGGGGGCUAUAAAAUAAAAAAAAAGAGAGAGAAAUUUUUUUUUUUUUUUUUUUUGCCGGGGGGGGGGGGGGGGGGGGGGCGCCCCCCCUCUUUUUUUUUUUAAUGGGUGGGGGGGGCGCGGCCCGGUUU